AGUGAACGCUGGCGGUAGGCCUAACACAUGCAAGUCGAACGGCAGCACAGUAAGAGCUUGCUCGUACGGGUGGCGAGUGGCGGACGGGAGAGAAAUACAUCGGUAUCUACUUUUUCGUGGGGGAUAACGUAGGGAAACUUACGCCAAUACCGCUUACGACCUAAGGGUGAAAGCAGGGGAUCUUCGGACCUUGCGCGAUUGACUGAGCCGAUGUCGGAUUAGCUAGUUGGCGGGGUAAAGGCCCACCAAGGCGACGAUCCGUAGCUGGUCUGAGAGGAUGAUCAGCCACACUGGAACUGAGACACGGUCCAGACUCCUACGGGAGGCAGCAGUGGGGAAUAUUGGACAAUGGGCGCAAGCCUGAUCCAGCCAUACCGCGUGGGUGAAGAAGGCCUUCGGGUUGUAAAGCCCUUUUGUUGGGAAAGAAAAGCAGCAGGUUAAUACCCCGCUGUUCUGACGGUACCCAAAGAAUAAGCACCGGCUAACUUCGUG
rnacentral:rRNA from 1 species